rnacentral:lncRNA from 1 species
GGCAACCUUUAUACAGACAUUUUUGCUUCUCUGAAUUUUGUUUACCUAAUUUUUAGUAAUUACAUAUAUAGAACCAUAAAAAAAUCUUAAAUAUUUGAUUUUAUUUUGAAUCUUCUCAAAAUAAAUGCAUAUCCAUAAUAUAGAUAUGUAUUUAUAUAGUCUUAUUUUUAUGGGUUUAAAUCAUUAUUUCAACAUUUAAAAUUAUGGACAUUUCUAGUUGCUUUUACAUUUUAUCAAAAUCUUAAGGAAUACUAUUUUAAUUAUAACAGCUUUCCUUUUAGAAACUGCAGUCUACUUUUAGGAUAUUACUUCAUGAUUCUAGAAAUGAAAGGAUGGAACUGUCUGCUGCCUGUGUCUACAGAGAAGUUAGAGAAAUCCACAGGAGUUGGACACAAUGAGGAGCUAUUUCCAUCACCAACAUGAGGAAUGCAAGUGUGUAAGAUAUUAAAGAACUUGUCCACAUGAGCUAAUAGAAGAAACAUAUAAUAGACAUGGGUCUUCUAGCUACAAGAAGCAGUCAUUCUGGCCAAGGAAGGGUGUCCAGGGUCUGGAAUAGGACAGAGUACACUGGGCUAAAACUGUCAAAAAGCAUUCAGUGCUGCUUCUCAAUCUCGAGACACGGACCACAGACCAACCCGGAGGUCACUGAUCUCUCCAUGUUGGAAAUCUACGUAUAUUUGUGAUUGAAUAACCUUUAGGUAACUUCUAUCUUUGAUCUAUAUUUACUCUAACAAUGC